GCAGUUCGAUUGUGUUUCUUGUUGUUGGACGUGCUUUUGUUGUGCUCUUCGAUUACGUUCGUUUUUUUUGCGGUUUGCGGACUUUUCCAAAGAAGAUUGAAGAUUUUUCAGGUAAGUCGUAGUUCAUAUUGACCCUAAACGUAAGAAUUUAUUUAAUAUUACUUGGAGAAUCGGUCCCAGAAGACAUUUCGGCACAUCGUUCGAUGGUCGGAUUCGAAUCUUUUAGAUUUAAAAAGGCAGCUGCGGUGAGCAUUUUGCUUUUCUCGGAAGAAUUUAGACAUUAAUUUAAGCUUUUGUUUUAAUCGACUAAUUGCAAAUUUUCUGUUUUUCAGAAUGAAGAUGUUGGCGUGGUUUUGCCGGAGGUUCCGACGGAAGAAUGCUGUGGCGCCGGAGGAAGGGGGUUUUUCGGACGGCUCUGAUGAGACAUUCGAGGACCUGGAGCUCUACUGGGUCUUUGUCGAAUCGAUUAGUUCGGUGUCAUUGGAGACCGUCGAACGAGAGGCAGCGGGUGGCGACGACCUUCCCCCAGUGCGUGUGGCAUGGGGCUCUCCCAGAGGCGAAAGAGUUCUGAGUCCAUUCCACUUGGCUAAGAUCGUCAGCUGAUCCAAGGCCACAGGCUUGGAUCAGCCGGCUACAGGCCUUGUUGUGGAAGACGUAGAGAGUGACGAGUCCUCUUGGAGUUCGCCGUCACUUUCUACUUUCGCGAGAUCUGCCUCUUCAUCCGCACUCGUGAUCUCGUCGCCAUCGUCUUUCGGAAGUUGGAAUGGGGAAGGAUCGGAGGAGAGCGCCGCCAAGUCGAGGAACCACGGUUUUGUUGCUGCGGUUCCAUAGGCCUAGUCGGUGAUCCUCUUCGAUCUUCCCCAACUCAUCCUUUGCACCCGGAUGUGACAUUCUGACCGGAUUUGACACUUUUCACUCGGAUAUGACACCUUUACUCGGACAUGACCUCUCUUAUCUGGAUGUGACCCACGGACUUGUCUUCCGAACAUGACACUCGAUCGACGACAACGGAUUUGACUUCCGAUUGUGAUCACCCGGACAUGACACGUUUCUCAUGGGAUGCAACAUUCGGCCGACUUUCUUCCCGAACAGCUGUUACAAGGAUUAAGUUUUCAGUCCUUUGCUCUCCUCGUGACAUUGUUCGGGAAGGAAGACUAUCUCAUAAAAGAAUAUUUGGGAGAUAGAUUCUUCUCUCUCCCCAACUUUGCUAUGAGGACAACAUGGCCAUUCAUCAUCAUACAAGUGAAUAUUUUCCGCAAUCUCUGAUGACAUGCCAAAGAUGUUCUUGGAUCGCACACAGACAUAACAUCACUGUACACAAAGAUAUACACCGUUUAACCUUUACUCGAAUUCUCUCACUCAUGCACUUACACCUCAAGCACCUCGUUCUGUGUAAUUCGACACAAUGAAACAACCCGAACACUUGCUUCCCACAAAUCCAAUCCCUGGGUCCUCGUCCCGGGAAGUGGAAACACCAAUUUUAAAGAUUAAAAGACUUUAAAUUGGCGGCCGAAGGGGCUCUAGUAAUCACACAUCUUGCAUGCAUUAAAUAGAAUUUCAGACAUUAGCAUCAAUAAUCAUUUUGUGAUUUUUUUUUAUACUCUUUCUGCCCCGUGGGCACUAGGGGGGCCUCUUAUAGCAGUCCCACAAUGAGUCGACCGGGUGGUGAGGGUUGAGGCCAGUCAUACCUGAACGGACCACCCCCCGAAAAUCUCCUGGGAAAUCUUCCUUGAUCCGUCCGGGUUCGAUCCCGGGUCCCCCAGAGCGGUCGGCUUCCACCUUGACCGCUCGGCCAUCCGGCCUCAUUUUUAGUAUUGCUAACUCUUACGUAAGAUCAUUGAAGAUCUUCAUGCUUAUUGUAUAUUUCAUCAUAUUUGCA